rnacentral:tRNA from 1 species
GAGGGAGGUCAAGGACACAAAGAACUGCUAAUUCUUUCUAUCAUGGCUCAAAUCCAUGACUCACUCG